rnacentral:rRNA from 1 species
GAUGAACGCUGGCGGCGUGCCUAAUACAUGCAAGUCGAGCGAACGGACGAGAAGCUUGCUUUUCUGAUGUUAGCGGCGGACGGGUGAGUAACACGUGGAUAACCUACCUAUAAGACUGGGAUAACUUCGGGAAACCGGAGCUAAUACCGGAUAAUAUUUUGAACCGCAUGGUUCAAAAGUGAAAGACGGUCUUGCUGUCACUUAUAGAUGGAUCCGCGCUGCAUUAGCUAGUUGGUAAGGUAACGGCUUACCAAGGCAACGAUGCAUAGCCGACCUGAGAGGGUGAUCGGCCACACUGGAACUGAGACACGGUCCAGACUCCUACGGGAGGCAGCAGUAGGGAAUCUUCCGCAAUGGGCGAAAGCCUGACGGAGCAACGCCGCGUGAGUGAUGAAGGUCUUCGGAUCGUAAAACUCUGUUAUUAGGGAAGAGCAUAUGUGUAAGUAACUGUGCGCAUCUUGACGGUACCUAAUCAGAAAGCCACGGCUAACUACGUG